GGACGAUUAGCUCAGUGGUAGAGCACUUCCUUCACACGGAAGGGGUCGUUGGUUCAACUCCAACAUCGUCUA
rnacentral:tRNA from 1 species